AACCUGGUUGAUCCUGCCAGUAGUCAUAUGCUUGUCUCAAAGAUUAAGCCAUGCAUGUCUAAGUAUAAACUGCUUUAUACUGUGAAACUGCGAAUGGCUCAUUAAAUCAGUUAUAGUUUAUUUGAUGGUACUUACUUACUCGGAUACCCGUAGUAAUUCUAGAGCUAAUACGUGCGUACAUCCCGACUUCUGGAAGGGACGUAUUUAUUAGAUAAAAGGCCGACCGGGCUUGCCCGACUCGCGGUGACUCAUGAUAACUUCACGAAUCGCAUGGCCUUGUGCCGGCGAUGUUUCAUUCAAAUUUCUGCCCUAUCAACUUUUGAUGGUAGGAUAGAGGCCUACCAUGGUGGUAACGGGUGACGGAGAAUUAGGGUUCGAUUCCGGAGAGGGAGCCUGAGAAACGGCUACCACAUCCAAGGAAGGCAGCAAGGCGCGCAAAUAACCCAAUCCUGACACAGGGAGGUAGUGACCAUAAAUAACAAUACCGGGCCCUUUGGUCUGGUAAUUGGAAUGAGUACAACCUAAAC
rnacentral:rRNA from 1 species